UACGUAGGGUGCGAGCGUUGUCCGGAAUUAUUGGGCGUAAAGAGCUCGUAGGCGGUGUGUCACGUCGGCCGUGAAAACCUGCAGCUUAACUGUGGGCGUGCGGUCGAUACGGGCAUCACUGGAGUUCGGCAGGGGAGACUGGAAUUCCUGGUGUAGCGGUGAAAUGUGUAGAUAUAUGGAAGAACACCGAUAACGGCGAAGGCAGUUAACUAUUCUGUUACUGACAUUGAGGCACGAAAGCGUGGGGAGCAAAACGG
rnacentral:rRNA from 1 species